UGGCAAAGCUAACGUGUUAAGUGUCCCGCCUGGGGAGUACGUCCGCAAGGAUGAAACCCAAAGGAAUUGACGGGGGCCCGCACAAGCGGUGGAGCAUGUGCUUUAAUUCGAUGCAACGCGAAGAACCUUACCUGGUCUUGACAUACCAUUGACCGUCCUAGAGAUAGGAUUUUCUUUUCGGAGACAGUGGAUACAGGUGCUGCAUGGUUGUCGUCAGCUCGUGUCGUGAGAUGUUGGGUUAAGUCCCGCAACGAGCGCAACCCUUGUCCUUAGUUGCUAGCAGGUAAUGCUGAGAACUCUAAGGAGACUGCCCUCGCAAGGGGGAGGAAGGUGAGGAUGACGUCAAAUCAUCAUGGCCCUUACGACCAGGGCUAGACACGUGCUACAAUGGCCGGUACAAUGGGUUAAUCCCCAAAAGAUGUCUCAGUUCGGAUUGGGGUCUGCAACUCGACCCCAUGAAGUCAGAAUCGCUAGUAAUCGCGUAACAGCAUGACGCGGUGAAUACGUUCCCGGGCCUUGUACACACCGCCCGUCACACCAUGGGAGUUGGAUCUACCCGAAGGCCGUGCGCUAACUUUUGAGGCAGCGGACCACGGUGGGUUCAGCGACUGGGUGAAGUCGUAACAAGGUAACC
rnacentral:rRNA from 1 species